rnacentral:lncRNA from 1 species
AAACAUCAUCUAAAAUAUCUAAAGCUGAGUAAAUGGAGACAACUUAAAAUAGUUCAUCAUACUAUGAUUCAUAACGUUUCAAACUCAUUUCAACUAAACAGAAGAAAUUCAUUUAACUCAAAUAAUCAACAUGGCUUAUGAAUUUCUUAAAAAUUUGGCUCAUGCCAAAACUUAUUCUCGGGGAUACCUUGGCCGGGGCAUCCAACCGAGUCCGCCAAGGCUAUUAAAGAAAAGUUCAUAUACGCAUAAAACACAUUUUUAUGUUUAAAAGCAUAACCGUUCCUUGGCGUUGGCUGAGUUCACCCUCACGUAGUGGUUUAGCGUGUAGUGAACUUUAAAACUUU